ensembl:rRNA 5S_rRNA 5S ribosomal RNA
UAUCACAGCUAAAUCACCCUGCAGCUCAAGACCGGUUACUGACUGAAGGUAUCCAGGGCUGAGCCUGGUCAGUACUUGAUUGGGAGACCACAUGAGAAAACUAGGUUGCUGUUAGAA